UUUACCUUGUGUUUCUCUCAGCUUCUCAGAUGACCAAGAUGGUGCUGCCGAUGGUGUUGAGGACGGAGAACCCACCAAGCCCCGUUAGGAGCCACCUAGACUGGAUGCAGAGCACAGUGAAAAUGGAGGUUCCCUCCUCCUGAGGCUGAGUGUGGCUUCCCUGGAAGACCUCACUGACCCCAGAGUGGCAGAAAGGCUGAUGCAGCAGAUGGAAUGCAGCCUGGCUCUG
rnacentral:lncRNA from 1 species